CCUUAAAUAUCCACAAGUUUUAGCAGUCUUUCAAGAGCUUAGAACCCUCCUGAUAAUCCUCACUGUCCAUAAGAGGCAAACUUACUGUAGAAGCUCUACCAGGCAUUCUAUUUUAAUCUCCUUCAGAAAUUUGCCUUCAAUCUCUCUUCAGC